CUACCCCUCAAGCGCGGCUUGUGUGUUGGGCGCUGUCCCCCCCCACUUUCCGGGGGGACAGGCCUGAAAGGCAGUGGCGGCGUCGCGUCCGGUCCUCGAGCGUAUGGGGCUUUGUCACCCGCUCUGUGAGGAUCCGGCCGGGGCCUGUCUCAACCCCCAAUCUUCUAAGG
rnacentral:misc_RNA from 1 species